AAUUAAAUUUCCUAAAUAAUAGAAUCCUAAACUAAUUAAUUUUACAAUGAAAAGUAAAAUCAAAAUUAUUUCCAAAUUUAGAUUCCCUUGACUGCAUCACAUCCACAUUUGUGGAUGGAUAACCAAUAAUCUAGCGGCCUAUAUUCAUUAAUGUGAUUCUUCUCUAAAAUCGAUCAAUUUAGACAAAGUUAUAUAGACAUUGGAAGUUGUAUUUGUCUGCUGGCAGGCCUUUCCUUUUUUGGUGUAAUUAGAGUGUGGGGAAGAUGAACUUUCCCUAAGUUUUUUUGAAUGUAAUAGGAAUUGAGGCAUUUGGUUUUCCACUUCACCAUUUUAUGAUAAAAUUGCUAAAUGUGCCAUUUUUGGAAAUUAUGGGCCUGUUUAUUAAUGAAAACAUUUUUCUAUUUUUCAUUUUCCAUUUUCUAAGAAAACUCUAGUUUUUAUUUUCUAUGAAAAAUAAGGAAAAACAUGGAAAAUGUGUUCACUUACAAAUAAUUGAAAAUGCUUUUCUAAUUCAAAAGGAAUUAUUCAUAUCUUUCAUAAUUA
rnacentral:misc_RNA from 1 species